UAGACGUUAACAGCUCUCUAACUGUGGCAUAAUCAUUUACAUACAGAAGUCGUGAUGCUCUUCUCUCUUUGCUCUGUCCGUUCAUUCAUGUGAUUUAACAGCGACAAUUACAUCAAAAUAGAUUUACAAACCAGCAUUUGUAGACUAAAGGGAGCACUAAAGGCCAAAGUAGCACAACGAACCCACACAUGUUACAGGAACUCAAGGAUAAUAUCCAUGAGUCAGUUCAUUCACUUUCUUAAAGAGAAGUACAUUGUGUGACAAAUAAUUUCUUCAGUAGAUAUGAGGAAUGUGUGGAAAAAAAUGGCAUGUACUUCCAGCAUCUCAAUGCAUGACAUAGGUAGAAGAUAGGGAUGAAGUGCCAACCUUUUCUACACUGGAAGUGCAAUCUGUAGCAAAUUAUGUGGAGAGUUUGUGUAGCAACAGUAGUAAUACAGGGUGUCCAACAAAGGACUCUCUAACAUUAGAAUCAAAUACAACAUUUGAAGACAGUGUCCCGAAAAAAACGGUUAUUCUGAGACACAGAUACAUAAUUCAUUCAGUGCCAGGCGAGUUCAAUCUAUGGAGCAGAAUGAGGAUACGAAGACACCCACCACUCUGGCCUUUUUUGGUGCCAUGUCAUUAAGAACCGGAAGAGUCCUCGGAAGAUAUGAAAUUAAGUGUUUUUCAACCAUGUGCAAAACUGAAAAACCUGUUGGGUUCAGUUAAGGAUGAUCUUGGCCUGAGGAAAUGUGGUGUGUACAAGAUUCCUUGUCAAUGUGGGGCAGCAUAUAUAGGCCAGACAUGCCGCACGAUACAAAAACACUGAGAUGAACAUCAGUGUCAUACACGCCUACACCAACCAGAAAAGUCGGCAAUUGCGGAACACUGCCUGAAUACAGGACAUUGCAUGAUAUAUGAAAAGAUGGAAGUUUUAUCACUGGCACCCUCUCUCUGGGACUGUGUCAUUAUGGAAGUAAUACAUAUCCGUACAGCUGAUAAUCUCAUCAACAGGGAAGUGGUAUUUCAACUGAGUAGAGCCUGGAACCCUGCAUUGACUGCUAUUAAAUCACAGCACAAAAAUCAAGAUUCUUCAAUAACAGACUCGUCAUAACAUUGGUCUAGUACGGUCUUUGGUGA